GCGAACAGGAUUAGAUACCCUGGUAGUCCAUGCCGUAAACGUUGGGCACUAGGUGUGGGGGACAUUCCACGUUUUCCGCGCCGUAGCUAACGCAUUAAGUGCCCCGCCUGGGGAGUACGGCCGCAAGGCUAAAACUCAAAGGAAUUGACGGGGGCCCGCACAAGCGGCGGAGCAUGCGGAUUAAUUYGAUGCAACGCGAAGAACCUUACCAAGGCUUGACAUGGACCGGAAAGACCUGGAAACAGGUGCCCCGCUUGCGGCCGGUUUACAGGUGGUGCAUGGUUGUCGUCAGCUCGUGUCGUGAGAUGUUGGGUUAAGUCCCGCAACGAGCGCAACCCUCGUUCUAUGUUGCCAGCGGUUCGGCCGGGGACUCAUAGGAGACUGCCGGGGUCAACUCGGAGGAAGGUGGGGACGACGUCAAAUCAUCAUGCCCCUUAUGUCUUGGGCUUCACGCAUGCUACAAUGGCCGGUACAAAGGGUUGCGAUACUGUGAGGUGGAGCUAAUCCCAAAAAGCCGGUCUCAGUUCGGAUUGGGGUCUGCAACUCGACCCCAUGAAGUCGGAGUCGCUAGUAAUCGCAGAUCAGCAACGCUGCGGUGAAUACGUUCCCGGGCCUUGUACACACCGCCCGUC
rnacentral:rRNA from 1 species